AUAGAGUGGUUGGGUUGGAAGGGACCUUAUAGGUCAGAGGGACGUAAAAUGGUUGGGUUGAGUGGGAAGGGAUCUUAUAGGUCUACCUUACGGAUUGCAGAGCCAUGGGUUGGGUUGGAAGGGACCUCAUAGAUCACAGAGCUGUAGAGUGGUUGGGUUGGAAGGGAUCUUAUCGGUCAUGGAGCCAUGGAAUGGUUGGGUUGAGUUGGAAGGGACCUCAUAGAUCAUAGAGUGGUUGUGUUGGAAGGGACCUCGUAGAUCAUAGAGUUGUAGAGUGAUUGGGUUGGAAGGGACUGUGUGGGUCACAGAGCUGUAGUGUGGUUGGGUUGGGUGGGAUUGGAAGAGUCCUUAUGGAUCACAGAGCCACCAAAUGGUUGGGUUGGAAAGGAUCUUAAUUGAUCACGGAGGCAUAGAAUGGUUGGGUUGGGUUGGAAGGGGCCUCACAGAUCAUAGAGUCAUAGAGUGGUUGGGUUGGAAGGGACUGUGUGGGUCACAGAGCUGUAGAGUGGUUGGGUUGGAAGGGAUCUUAUCGGUCAUGGAGCCAUGGAAUGGUUGGGUUGGGUUGGAAGGGACCUCAUAGAUCAUAGAGUGGUUGGGUUGGAAGGGACCUUAUAGGUCAUAGGGACGUAAAAUGGUUGGGUUGAGUGGGAAGGGAUCUUAUAGGUCGACUUUAUGGAUUGAAGAGCCAUGGGUUGGGUUGGAAGGAACCUCAUAGAUCAUAGAGUGGUUGUGUUGGAAGGGACCUCAUAGAUCAUAGAGUUGUAGAGUGGUUGGGUUGGAAGGGACUGUGUGGGUCACAGAGCUGUAGUGUGGUUGGGUUGGGUGGGAUUGGAAGAGUCCUUAUGGAUCACAGAGCCACCAAAUGGUUGGGUUGGAAAGGAUCUUAAUUGAUCACGGAGGCAUAGAAUGGUUGGGUUGGGUUGGAAGGGGCCUCACAGAUCAUAGAGUGGUUGGGUUGGAAAAGACUUUGUAGAUCACAGAGCUGUAGAGUGGUUGGGUUGGAAGGGAUCUUAUCGGUCAUGGAGCCAUGGAAUGGUUGGGUUGGGUUGGAAGGGACCUCAUAGAUCAUAGAGUGGUUGGGUUGGAAGGGACCUUAUAGGUCAGAGGGACGUAAAAUGG
rnacentral:lncRNA from 1 species